AAGAGAAUCUGUAAUGUCUCUUAGUUCUUCGGUCGUAGAAUGGUGAAGCUAUGUCAAAGGAAAUAAUUGAACUAAUUCUGAUUAUGCUUUUAUGAGAUCAUCCAAAUAAUUGAAGAUUGUAGUGAUGGAUGCAUUUGGUAAUUCUCGAAGGCAUUUGGAAGUAUUGUCCUUUUUUUAAAACUCUACGGAC